rnacentral:rRNA from 1 species
GACGUAGGGCGCGAGCGUUGUCCGGAUUUAUUGGGCGUAAAGAGCUCGUAGGCGGCUCAUUGCGUCAACCGUGAAAACCAGCAGCUCAACUGUUGGCUUGCGGUUGAUACGGGUGGGCUGGAGUUCGGUAGGGGAGACUGGAAUUCCUGGUGUAGCGGUGAAAUGCGCAGAUAUCAGGAGGAACACCGGUGGCGAAGGCGGUUCUCUGGGCAUUACCUGACGGCUGAGGAGCGAAAGUGUCGGGGAGCGAACAGG